AAACGGAUUUCGGCCUGAGGUCUGUUGGGUAAGUGGCUUAGACUUUAGCCCAGUGGCAGACCAAAAGUAAUAGGCCAAGUAAAUUUACGGGUGGGCCGUCCUCUGCUGGGUUACCUUCGGCCAAGAACCCAGGUGAAAAGACUGUUCGUUUUCUUUCUGGGCCACAUUUGCAGCAUAAUGUAUCCGAAUUGGCAUUGGCCGAUUUGGGGGGUUGAUAAAAAAUUGGAAAAUUCACUUAGUGACCCUUCAAAGUUUUCCAAUUCUUGAAAUAACCCUAACAUGACGAUUACUCAUUUCAAUCUUACAUUUGAAGAAUCGAAAUGAGCGGUGGUGGUUUUAGAUGGAAAUAUUUUAGAUCCUGGGAAGCACUCGGCUGUAGUUUUUAAGGAAGAUUCAAAUUCUAAGAAAUGUCAAGUUCUGGGGUUCGGAGGAGAUGAUGAGGUUAGAAGGGUAGUGUUUAUUCUUAAAGCGCGGGGUUCAAUUGAUAAAGGUGGAAAAAGUUGAAAUGGUAGAAAGCUUAAUCGGACCAUUCAAAACCAUGGAGAUAGUUUUAAAUUGACUGGUACUACUCGUAUUUCAUUGUCUGAAUCUAUGAGUUCCUUGGUUGAGUUAAUUAACAACCACUUUGACAUGGAAAAUAACAAAGAAUCAGAUGCUUCGGAAGAAAUGCAAAAACUAAAGUUUUAGGGCUCUAAGAUGUAAGCUGGUUUCUUUUCUCAUCUAUUUUAUUUAUGAAUUUGAUAGUUUUUUCUUAGAAUUUCCAAGGUUGUGCUAGUUCGAAAUUUCCUAGAAUUUUUCGUGAAUUUGAUAGUUUUUUCUUAGUUUGUUAGAGACGAGAGCGAUUUCAAAGUUAAUAAAAUUAUUUCUAGUUUGGGUUUUCAGUUUUCUCGCAGAGUGGAGGCUAUUGGAUUCUUUGGAGGCAUUUUGUUUGGCUAGAAAGACUCAAUUUUUGUUGAAAUUAUUUGCAGUAAUCCCCAAUUAAUUUGUAUUCGUGUUCUUAAGAUUAAUUCUGUUUUGCUUGUUCAUAUUGCUUUUGUGUAUGAAAGCCUAUAUAGACAAAAGAGGAGGAAGCUUUGGAAAGAUCUAUCAAUUGUUAUUCUGACAGGAUAUAGGGUUUAGGGGCCACCCUUUUACUUGGCAGCGAGGUAGACUUUUUGAAAGACUUGAUAGGGCAACUGGUAACGAUGUUUGGUUGUGUUCAUUCUUGAAAAACUACUUCGUCACUCAUUUGUUGAGAAUUAAGUCUGAUCAUUGACCUUUUUUGGUUUCUCUUAAGCCUAAUGUUACCUUAAAGGCCGCCUUUUUAAGUUCCUCGCUGGUUAGGUUGAACAUCCUAAAUUUUCAGCCUUUGUCAAGGAGAAAUGGUGCUUUAAAGGGUAACAUGGCUGAUUCUCUAAAUUUCUUUACUAAUGACAUUAAAGAUUGGAAUCGUUCUAUGUAUGGUUAUAUUGGGAUGCCCAAGCGGAAUUUGAUGCAUACAUUAUCUAAUGUUCAAAAAGCUUUAGAAAAUUAUGACUCUGUGUAUUUAAGAAAUAUGAAAAAUUAGAUAAGGGAAGGAUUGGAAUGUGUUCUCCAUCAUAAGAAAAAAGCUAGGUGUGAUUGGUUGCAAUUUAGAGAUCGAAACACUAAUUUUUUUUCACUCUUGCACGGCUCAAAGAAGAAAUCAUAACAAAAUUUUCGCUUUGAAGAAUAAGGAGGGUGAUUGGAUUUUUGAGGAUGAGAGGCUCCAGCCUGAGGUAAUCAGGUUUUUUCAGAAAUUGUAGGGUGAGCUUCUGGAUUCUACGAAAACUUUAUUUACUAAUUCUUUCCCUAAACUUCACUAGAAUGAUGAGGUGUUCCUUAGAAAAGAAGUUUUGAAUGAAGAGAUAAAGGCUGCCAUAUUUGACAUGGCUCCAUUGAAAAUGGCUAAAAGUGAUGGAUAUCACGCACUCUUUUUUCCAAGUCAAUGGGAGCUAAUUGGUAGUGCAAUUUCAUCCAAUAAGCCUUUGUUCAAUUCUUUACAAAUUGUUCAUGAAGAUUAUUGCGAAUAGAUUUAAGAUGGUCUUUCCUUGAAUUAUUAAACUAGAACAGGCUGGCUUUAUUGUUGGAAGGAACAUCACUGACAAUAUCACAGUGGCUCAAGAAGUUAUCCACUCAAUGUGAAGUAAACACAAAAAAAUGGAUGGCUAUUAAGAUUGAUUUGGAGAAAGCUUAUGACAGGGUUAGUUGGAAAUUCAUUAGCGCCUCUCUCCAAGCGACUUUCAUUCCAGAUUUCCUCAGGAAUGUAAUUAUGUCUGCUAUCACAAGCUCUACUAAGUAGAUCCUCUGCAAUGCAAUGCCGACUCAGAAGUUCAGUCCAGUACGGGGCAUCCGACAGGGAUGUCCUCUGUCUUCGUAUCCUUUCGUUCUUUGCAUGGAAUGAUUGAGUCACAGUAUUAAUUCUUCUAUAAAUUGUGGUAGCUAGCCUCUUAUUUGAUUAUCCAGAUCAAGCCCGUCACUUUCUCAUUUGUUUUUUUACUGACGAUCUUUUUAUCUUUGGAAAAGCAGAUGAACACCAAGCCGCAUUGAUCAAGGACGGAUACCUUCUGUGGCUUUUUUGGACACCGAGUGAAUGCUCACAAGAGGAAUAUUUUCUUUUCCAAAGAAGUGGAUGACGAUUUGGCAAGGCGUUUGUGUGACAUGCUUGGGUUUCGCAGGGUUCAUAAUUUGGGUUAGUACUUGGGAGUUCCUCUCUUUCAUGAAAGGGUUACAAAUAGCUCUCUGAAGUUCGUGGUGGAAAACUUUAAAUCUAGGUUACAAAUGUGGGAUGUGAGGAAAUUGUCUCUAAUGGGCAGAGUUACCUUAGCUCAAUCGAUCCUUCUUACAAUACCAGUUACUUCAUGUAGUCAUUGAGAAUACCGCAAGGUAUAUGUGACGAAAUUGAGAGCAUUGUUUGUCAAUUCAUAUGGGGCUCGACUGGAGGGAACGAAAAUAUGAAACUUGUUAGUUGGAACUCGUUGUGUCAGCUAAAGACUUGUGGAGGGCUUGGGUUUCGACAGUUGAAUUUGUCGAGUUUUGAGGCUUUGUGAGUUCGUGUGCUAUGUGUGAAGUAUGGGAUUAAAGAUGGCAUUCCCCUCAAUAUCGUUCGUAAUAAUUGCUCAUUUCUUUAGAGAGCUCUAUCUAAAGUUUGGCCUUUCCUUAGAGAAAACAUUUAUUGGUAAGUUGGAGAUGCCAAUUCUAUUAUGUGUUAGAGGGACAGUUGGAUUUCGAAGAUUGGUCCACUGAUUAACCUUAUCCCAGAAAAUGCUAACAUUGCUACAGAUUGUUGUUUAAGGGAGAUGAUUAUAAAUGAAGGAACAUGGAAUCUGGAACUUUUUCGGAUUUGGCUUUCCAAAGAUUUAACUAGACGAAUUACUAGCAUUCUUCCUCCAGAUCUUACAGCAGGGCCUGGCAGAAUUGCUUGGUCAGGAACCUCUGCAAGGUGUUUCUCUGUUAAGAGUUAUUAACAUAAGAUUAAGGAGAGUUCAUGGAAUCCUAGGAAAGAAGCUUGGAAUUUGCCAUGGAAGGUUAAGGAACCUCAUAGGGUGCGAGUUUUUCUUUGGCUGGCUCUCAAACUACAAUUGCUUACUUAAGUUGAACGGUUAAGGUGUGGUGUGGGUAGUGAUGUAAGAUGUCUAAUUUGUGGCCAUAAAGCAGAGGACAUAUUACAUGUUUUAAGGGAUUGUGAUACGAUAAAGAAGGUAUGGAACCGAAUGAUCCCUCCCCAUAAACUAACCUUUUUCUUUUCAGGUAAUUUGAAGGAUUGGAUUGAGGCUAACUUGGAAAAUCGGUCAACAUGGUUUGGAGGAAUAUCAAUUGCUCAUGUUUCUUUGGCCUAGUUGCUUGGCAGAUAUGGAAGAACAGGAAUAUUUGCACCUUUAAUGGGGCCCCGUGGAGUGUAAAAGAGAUUGAUAAAGUUUCGCACAGUUGAGCUAAUCAAUGCAUUACAGCAUACUGGGGAGGCAUUGUUGUGAGACCUACCUCAAGAGCAAAGAUGGUGGUAAUAGAAAGGUAGAUCCGCAUAAGAUUCGAUGGAGCUGUUAAAACCAACACAGGUUGCGCUGCGGUAGGUGGCAUAUUGAGAAAUCAUAAUGGAGAUUAGGUACUUAGCUACAAUCACAGUUGGGGAAAUGUUCUGUUUUUGAAGCUGAAUUGUGGGGCAUACUCGAUGGUAUGACCCUGUGCAGACAAACAAUAUAAAAGUCAUUGGGAAUUUCAAGGAAUCUUUAUCGAAGGGAUCAAAUUUUGCGUUAAUAAGGAAGUUUGGUCAAUUGAAUAUAUUCCUAGAGCUGAAAACAUGGAAGCUGAUAGUAUCACCAAGCUGACUUUUGGUAGGGAGGAGGGUUUAUAGUUAUAUGAAACUUCUUCUUUGAUGUUUUACUAGUAUUUUGUAAUGUUCUACUUUAUUUUCAUAAAAAAAACCAUAAUUGAGAAUAAUAUCAAAUCAUUUAAUUUUAUUUUAAAUAUUAAAA